rnacentral:rRNA from 1 species
CCUACGGGAGGCAGCAGUGGGGAAUAUUGGGCAAUGGGCGCAAGUCUGACCCAGCAACGCCGCGUGAAGGAAGAAGGCUUUCGGGUUGUAAACUUCUUUUCUGAGGGACGAAGAAAGUGACGGUACCUCAGGAAUAAGCCACGGCUAACUACGUGCCAGCAGCCGCGGUAAUACGUAGGUGGCAAGCGUUAUCCGGAUUUAUUGGGUGUAAAGGGCGUGUAGGCGGGAAAGCAAGUCAGAUGUGAAAACUCAGGGCUCAACCCUGAGACUGCAUUUGAAACUGUUUUUCUUGAGUGCUGGAGAGGCAAUCGGAAGUCCGGGUGUAGCGGUGAAAUGCGUAGAUAUUAGGAGGAACACCAGUGGCGAAGGCGACUUUCUGGACUGUACCUGACGCUGAGGCGCGAAAGCGUGGGUAGCGAACGGGAUUAGAUACCCCAGUAGUC